rnacentral:rRNA from 1 species
AUUGAACGCUGGCGGCAGGCCUAACACAUGCAAGUCGAGCGAGAGGCGGACGGGUGAGUCAUGUAUGGGGACUGCCCGAUAGAGGGGGAUAACUACUGGAAACGGUGGCUAAUACCGCAUACGGUCGGAUAACCCAUAUGGGGUUGGCUAGUAGGUAAGGGAAGGGCUUACCUAGGCGACGAUCCCUAGCUGGUCUGAGAGGAUGAUCAGCCACACUGGGACUGAGACACGGCCCAGACUCUAAGGGAGGCAGCAGUGGGGAAUAUUGCACAAUGGGCGCAAGCCUGAUGCAGCCAUGCGGCGUGUAUGAAGAAGGCCCUAGGGUUGUAAAGUACUUUCAGUCGGGAGGCGUUACCGACAGAAGAAGCACCGGCUAACUCCGUGCCAGCAGCCGCGGUAAUUC